GGGUUCCCCUUUGCUUUAACAUGGGGGUACCUGCUGUGUGAAACAAAAGUAAGUGCUUCCAUGUUUCAGUGGAGGUGUCUCC
ensembl:miRNA cja-mir-302c cja-mir-302c